rnacentral:rRNA from 1 species
AUUGAACGCUGGCGUCAGGCCUAACACAUGCAAGUCGAGCGAGCGGCGGACGGGUGAGUAAUGUCUGGUAAACUGCCUGAUGGAGGGGGAUAACUACUGGAAACUGUAGCUAAUACCGCAUACCAUCAGAUGUUCCCAGAUGGGAUUAGCUGGGGGGUGGGGUAACGGCUCACCUAGUCGACGAUCCCUAGCUGGUCUGAGAGGAUGACCAGCCACACUUGAACGGAGACACGGUCCAGAGUCCUACGGGAGGCAGCAGUGGGGAAUAUUGCACGAUGGGCGCAAGCCUGAUGCAGCCAUGCCGCGUGUGUGAAGAAGGCCUUCGGGUUGUAAAGCACUUUCAGCGGGGAGGCGUUACCCGCAGAAGAAGCACCGGCUAACUCCGUGCCAGCAGCCGCGGUAAUAC